UACACAUCGUUGUCGUACGAAGGUCAGGACGAUGUGGAUUUCGAGAUAUAAUUCGACACAUCUGAAUUAAAAUGCUAAGGAAAUGUGUGUUCCCGUAUGCAUACCUUUAGUCUCUAGCACGCCGAACUCAUUGAACCUAAACACAUAAAAUGAGAGAGAAAACCGGCUCGAUUGAGAGAGAGAGGCGAAAAAACAAUGCGACCUUAAAUUACACACUACUUCAGAUUAUUUACACAGCUGGCUACAUUUUCCCUUCUUGGUUGAAUUCCAAAAAUCGGGCGACGGAAACAGUCAAGUGCUGCCCUUGGUUUAAAAACGCGAACUCUUCAUUCGGGUGCUCGGGGAGGGGGACGAACGCCGUUCUUCUAAACUCCACCCACACCCGACGGCACGGUGGCGUGCGCGCGAAGACGCAGAGCGUGCGCGCCCGCGGGAGGGGGGCGAUAGAAAAUGGCGAGUCUGUGCAAAAGGCAGCAAUGUACGAUCGAGAGGCGCGGCUUUCGGCAGGAACUGGAUUCGUGGAGGCAUAAACUAAUUCACUGUGUAGGGUUUGAAAGCAUUUUGGAAGGGCUGUUUGGACCAGGACUCGUAAAAGACCUCACCGUAUUUAAAGAUUAUGAGCCAGAAGGGGUUUCUGAUUGGUCGUUCAAUAAAAACUGUCUCUUCUGUUGCUUAAGACGAGAAAAAGUGAAAGUAAGCCCAUUCUGUUCUUUCCUUUCUCUGCUUGCCUCAAUCUGUAAGUGUAUAUGUAUUUCAUGCUGCCGUUUUAGAGAAUGGGAUGUGAGGUAGCACAGUGUGCUCAGGACACUGUCAGUCCUCAACUGAUGUGUCUCUGUGUUAAGGGCAGGGGUUUUAUCCCCAGUGUCCUGGCUUGGCAGAUUUAAUAAAACUCAUCUGUUCUCUGCUGGUUUUAACCUGUUAAAUGAA